rnacentral:snoRNA from 1 species
UACCUUUCUUCUUCUAGGACAAUCAGGUGUAGGUUUGGCCUCUUGAUAUAAUUGCACAUCUCUAUCCUUUUAAAACUCAGGCAAACUGGGUGUUUGUCUUGUCUCCUGUCAGAGGAAACAAAU